GAGAGAGUGAGCUGGCAGCAGCUGCUGAUGUCAGCUCCUGCAUGAAGUUUCGUACUGAAACCUUUUACUGUGAGAGUGCUGACUGCGGGGAUCAUCUUUAACAUGCUUCUGCACACACGUGUGAGCCCAGAGGCAUGCUGGAGCCCCUGAUGACGACCAUUAGAGCUGCAGUCGGGAGACGCAACAAGGCGGCCAAGCGCUUGCCUUCAUUUCGUGUGUCUAAAGGAAAGAAGAACGUUGCAGAAUCUCAUCCACUGAACAGUCAGCCAGUCUGAUGUGAUGAAGCUGGAGAUGAUGAAGAGGAGGCUGCCGUCAGCUCGUCCUUCUCCAUGGAUGUGAAACAGGAAGCUCAGUGUAACAGCUGAAGCUGUCUCUCAUGUAUGAACUAACGAUGGAGCGUUGUCCUCUCAGUUUCUUCUUCUUCUGUCUGUCUGCAGACUCUAUGUUGGUCACAUGACCCAUUAGCUGUUUUACUUUUACCUGUGUCUGCAUGUUAGUGGCUCAGCAUCAUGUAUGUUCAUACGACCCUCUGUGCUCUUCACACUGAGCAUCAUCAUCAUCCCACUGUCAGAGAGGACCAAUCAGAGCUCAGCUCCUGGCUGUGCCUGCAGACUGGCCUCAGAUCAGCACAAAGCCGUGUGUAACAUCUGAUCCACAGAGGUCAGCUGGAUCUGCUCAGUGUGAUGCUCUCUGUCAAUGGAAAAUUGUACUUAGUAGUCAGUAUAAUCUUUUAGUGAUAUAAGUUUGCAUAUGGUAGAAUGCUGCAUGUAAUCAUUUGUGUGUAGAAGUAUUAGUUGGUGGCAUAUUGAAAGAAUGUCUCAUCCUAGGAGGUCUGUAACAUUCCAGGGUGUUCUGGCUCCACCCCACAUCCUGGGAGCAUGGGAGAGGUCGUACCUUGUCUUAUUGUUUUACGGUAGGAUUAACGUAGCUAUGUCAGUUCUAGUCUAAGUGCCUUUUGGUUUGAUGAACUGUUGGACUUUGAGACCAGCAGGUUUAGGGAAGAUUUUAUGGGGUCACACUCUGACCACACACACACACACACACACACACACACACACACACACACACACACACACACACACACACACACACACACACACACACACACACACACUGAAGUAUAAAUAAAGACCGGGGCAGUUUCUCAGCGCAAGCCUCAGUGCUGGAGGCCGCCCUUACUAGCAAGAAGUUCUGUGUGUUUCUCUUCUCUGAGUCUUUGCUGAAGAAGUGUUUUAGAGUAUAUUCCUUAACACUCUCAGAGGAACCUUUAACUUCACUCACACCUCCACCUGAGCUCACAGGGAGGGUGGAGGUGUUCACCUGUGCUGCAAUGUUAUAUCUUUUUGUUUGUUUUUUAAUAAAGCUUCUUUAAACUGUGUGUGUGUGUGUGUGUGUGUGUGUGUGUGUGUGUGUGUGUGUGU
ensembl:lncRNA